rnacentral:rRNA from 1 species
GAUGAACGCUGGCGGCGUGCCUAAUACAUGCCAGUCGAGCGAACGGACGAGAAGCUUGCUUCUCUGAUGUUAGCGGCGGACGGGUGAGUAACACGUGGAUAACCUACCUAUAAGACUGGGAUAACUUCGGGAAACCGGAGCUAAUACCGGAUGAUAUUUUGAACCGCAUGGUUCAAAAGUGAAAGACGGUCUUGCUGUCACUUAUAGAUGGAUCCGCGCUGCAUUAGCUAGUUGGUAAGGUAACGGCUUACCAAGGCAACGAUGCAUAGCCGACCUGAGAGGGUGAUCGGCCACACUGGAGCGGAGACACGGUCCAGACUCCUACGGGAGGCAGCAGUAGGGAAUCUUCCGCAAUGGGCGAAAGCCUGACGGAGCAACGCCGCGUGAGUGAUGAAGGUCUUCGGAUCGUAAAACUCUGUUAUUAGGGAAGAACAUAUGUGUAAGUAACUGUGCACAUCUUGACGGUACCUAAUCAGAAAGCCACGGCUAACUACGUG